UCAGGAAGCUGCAAGGCCAUGUUCCUAUCAACACCAGAAAUUGGAGGGCCAUUUACAAGCACACAAAGGCAAGGUUGGCCAAGAGAUUUCACAGCAUUACAGCAAGCUUCACUUGGUGGAAUUGGGCUAAAAGGAGCAACUGCUGCCCUGCAAGAUGCAACUUCCUCAGAUUCACGCUAAAUAUGGUUCUUCUCGGGCGGUAAGUAACAGCAGCUGCUCAUAGAUCUGAUGUGCGCUUUCUUCUCUCUCUCUCUCUGGCUUUCAUCAUCUAAGGAUCUCAUGCUAUUGACUCAAACAGUAAGGUCUAUAAUUAAUUGUAGAAGCUUCACUUGUCUUUUGGUAAUGUCUAGUUUUCAUCGCUCAUCCCUAUUCUGACGUUACAUAUGUAUUUUCGCUGAUAACUCUGAUCUCCAUAGAUCCUGAAAAAGCUUGGUAGCUGUGUUGAUGAACUAUAAUCUUCCCUGCUCUUCAGUUUGUUUUGUAUGGCCUUGGACUAAUGUUGUUGAAGAUUCCUCUUUUGAUUAGUAUUUUUGUCGACUAAUAGAAUUUUUGCAAAAUUGGUGAACAUUAUUU